rnacentral:lncRNA from 1 species
CUGGACAAGAGGCAUUUUCGUAUUUCACCAUUUUUAGAAGAAAUUGUACAGUUGAAGGGGCCACAAGCAGCUUUUUGUCUAACAUUGGCUUUGAUUUUGGUGCUCCAACUGUACCAUAUUUUCUACUUUUGGGGCAAUAAAUAGGCUCACGUUUCUCUUUCAUCUCUCUCUUUCAUAGAAAAUUGCUCUGAAUAGAAAUAGCUAGAGUUUGUUCCUUUGGUGUUCUUUGUUGUGUGUUUUUUGUUUAAUUUCUUGCUGUUGUGCAUAUAUUUUCGUGUUCUUACUAUUUUUUGUUGUCAGUUUGAAGCUCCAAUUCUUCAAAGUGCAAAAUGGAGGGUGGUCCCCUCGGGGCACUUCUCCUCUGACAAAGAACGGAUUCUCUCAAAGCUGACAGAUCAGAAAUUGUGAGUUCGAUUUUUAAGGUUCUUGGAAGGCAAGACACAUACUGGAAGGCAGGAGUGUUUUAAAAGGCACUUUGACAGUCCAGUUGGAGAGGUGCUCGGACUCUGAUCAGUUGGGGCACAUCCCGUGAUUUAACUGGUCUGUGUGAAGAGGGAUUAGAUCACAUAUCCAAAGAAUAGUCGUCGAAGAUGGACACCUUGAUAAAAUAAAAUAAAAUAAAAAUGAAGGGCGACGGUGCUACUAGCAAUGCGCAAGGGACUGCUUGUCGAUGUGUACGGUGCGGGUCGUGCUUUUAUAGGGUACGAUUCUCUUUUCUUAUCUAACUUUGUUCACUUUUAUACCGCAGCUGUACUUGUAGAGGCCAAACGGAUUAUUUCCCUCUACAACCAUGUUCUUUAUGUCACAAUCAUGGAUGUGGAGCAGUGCAAAGCUUGCUAUUACUAAAGUUCAUAGGGACAUAAUUAACCGUGUAUGUUGGCUUCUUGAAUUUUUGCUCCUUUUUUCAUGUGUUGAGAUUCUAGAAUUUCAGAGAACAAUUCAAGUUUGUGUGAUGGUUUUGCCAUAUAUGAUGCGUGUACCUAUGAUCCCCAUUCUAGUAUUCUUACUUUUGUGUUUUUUUGAAAUUCUAAAAUGGACACGCAGAAAAAUGAGACCACAAUAAUUUAAAAAAUGAGAAUACUAGAAUUAACUGAUCAAGAGGAAAAAGUAACAAUUCAUAAAAAUGAUCGAAUUUUUUUAUAUAUAAAAAAUUUUCAAAUAAAAAAAUAAUGAAGAUGAAAAAAUAGUAUAACAAUUUAUAACCAAAAAAAAAAAAACUUGACGCCAAACCACAUAAUUUUUUAUAAAAUGAUUUAAAUUAUAUUGAAAAAUUUGUAGCGAAAAAAUAAUAAAUAUUAAUAAAAUAAUUGAUUUUUUUUGAAAAAAAAGGGACGACUUUUACGCAAUUUUUAACACAUACGGUUGAUGUAUGUUUAACCUUUUUCGAUAUUCAUUUAGAUCAUUCGAUAUGUCUAUGAUAUAGUUCUCGAAAUGAGUUUCGAGAGAAUAUAGAAGAUUUAUGAAUUCGACUAACGUACAAUCCUCGAAAAAAUUUUAAAGUCAGUUUGUUAUCGAAAUUUUCAAAAUACUAGUUUGAAAAGGCCUACUUUGACGAACCGUAACAUUUGCUACGAUUGACCAUUUCACGCACCGUUAAUGACGUGAAAUAUUAGGUCAUGAAUACUUCAAAAUGAUACUAAAAAUGUAAUAUUUCGACUUCGUUUGAUAUCCCAUAAUAAGCUCGAAAAUCAAUACAAAACAUAAGAAAUUUCUGAAUUUAUUACAUACUUUCCUCCAACCCAAUCGUCGCUUCUUUUUCCUUUCACUGACACGUGACACGUCCCAUUUUUUAAAUUUCUGUGAGACUUCUGUAAUAUAUACUUUGUUUGUUGUGUGAGAUUUACUGGGUGCAUAAUUCUCGGGGGAUAUUCAUUUUUUCCUAUUUUCAUUCCUUGCUUUUGGCGUCUGCAGGUGUUGUUUUUCGCAUACCAUCCAUCGACUUCCUGGUGCAUUGCGGUGUUUGUUUGGAGCUUUGGGGAUUUCGAAAUUGCCACAUCUAGACCUGAGUUGAGUUCUUUUCCAUUCAUUUUGCUGGGUACUUGCUCGAAUUCUAGAUUCCAUGUAUUUUCGAUUUCUUUACUUCUUUACAUGAAAAAAUAUUUAUUCCAUUUUUUUCUCGCUUCAGUACAUUUAGUUCAGAUUCUGCAAUUUUCCCUUUACAUUUUUUGGUAUUGUUCCUUCUUACGUUUCUGCGAUUGAUUUAUCUAUUUUGGUUUUUAUUAAUUUUGUUAGCUUGGUCACAUGUUGUUGAUUUUGUUUCAUUUGGUAUGGGUUUUAUGGAUUUGCAGAAAACACGCUAUUUUUAAAAAAUCAGGUCAAAGGAGUUAUCUUUUGCAUCUGAAAUCUUAUUAUUCUGUCGAGGGAUAAUUUGGGAGUUUAGAAUAUGAAAAUGAUGUCUGUUAGACACACUUGUAAUAUGUUAGACACACUUUCACUUGUGUGUGGGUUUGCUG